rnacentral:rRNA from 1 species
UAAUACGAAGGGUGCAAGCGUUAAUCGGAAUUACUGGGCGUAAAGCGCACGCAGGCGGUUUGUUAAGUCAGAUGUGAAAUCCCCGGGCUCAACCUGGGAACUGCAUUUGAAACUGGCAAGCUAGAGUCUCGUAGAGGGGGGUAGAAUUCCAGGUGUAGCGGUGAAAUGCGUAGAGAUCUGGAGGAAUACCGGUGGCGAAGGCGGCCCCCUGGACGAAGACUGACGCUCAGGUGCGAAAGCGUGGGGAGCAAACAGGAUUAGAUACCCUGGUAGUCCACGCUGUAAACGAUGUCGAUUUGGAGGUUGUGCCCUUGAGGCGUGGCUUCCGGAGCUAACGCGUUAAAUCGACCGCCUGGGGAGUACGGCCGCAAGGUUA